rnacentral:rRNA from 1 species
AAGAGCACACGGGGAAUGCCUUGGCUCUCAGAGGCGAUGAAGGACGCGAUAAGCUGCGAUAAGCUACGGGUAUUGGCACAUACGAAUUGAUCCGUAGAUUUCCGAAUGGGGAAACCUAACUAACUGAAGGUUAGUUGCAAUAGCGCAA